AUGUUUAAGCAGGUGCUCACCCUCACACACCCUUUCAAGUUCAACAACUUUGCUUUUUGUGCUUCUGUCAGGUGGGUUUUCAUUUUUUUAAUUAUUGGUAUCAUGGGCUUGCAGUACUUCCUUAUAUUAUUAUUAUUAUCAUUGUUAAUAUCAAUAUUCUUAUUAUAUUUUAAUAUGUGUAUUAAUUAG